rnacentral:rRNA from 1 species
AUUGAACGCGGCGGCAUGCUUUACACAUGCAAGUCGGACGGCAGCACAGAGAAGCUUGCUUCUUGGGUGGCGAGUGGCGAACGGGUGAGUAACAUAUCGGAACGUACCGAGCAGUGGGGGAUAACUAAUCGAAAGAUUAGCUAAUACCGCAUAUAUUCUGAGGAAGAAAGCAGGGGACCAUUUAGCCUGCGCUGUUUGAGCGGCCGAUAUCUGAUUAGCUAGUUGGUGGGGUAAAGGCCUACCAAGGCGACGAUCAGUAGCGGGUCUGAGAGGAUGAUCCGCCACACUGGGACUGAGACACGGCCCAGACUCCUACGGGAGGCAGCAGUGGGGAAUUUUGGACAAUGGGCGCAAGCCUGAUCCAGCCAUGCCGCGUGUCUGAAGAAGGCCUUCGGGUUGUAAAGGACUUUUGUCAGGGAAGAAAAGGGCGGGGUUAAUACCCCUGUCUGA